rnacentral:rRNA from 1 species
UACGUAGGUGGCAAGCGUUGUCCGGAUUUACUGGGCGUAAAGGGUGCGUAGGCGGGUUUUUAAGUCAGGGGUGAAAUCCUGGAGCUCAACUCCAGAACUGCCUUUGAUACUGAAGAUCUUGAGUCCGGGAGAGGUGAGUGGAACUGCGAGUGUAGAGGUGAAAUUCGUAGAUAUUCGCAAGAACACCAGUGGCGAAGGCGGCUCACUGGCCCGGUACUGACGCUGAGGCACGAAAGCGUGGGGAGCAAACAGG